CCUGCCUCUAGAGGCCUUGCAGGUGUGGCUGCUGUGUCACAUGUGCAUCAGUAGGUGGCAGAGGAGAAAGAGGCUAUGUCCAUGCUGGCUGCUCUGACCUGUGAACUUCUCAAUGAUUAGUAGACUAACAUU
ensembl:snoRNA small nucleolar RNA SNORA17